rnacentral:rRNA from 1 species
AUUACUCCUACGGGAGGCAGCAGUGGGGAAUUUUGGACAAUGGGGGAAACCCUGAUCCAGCCAUCCCGCGUGUGCGAUGAAGGCCUUCGGGUUGUAAAGCACUUUUGGCAGGAAAGAAACGUCAUGGGCUAAUACCCCGUGAAACUGACGGUACCUGCAGAAUAAGCACCGGCUAACUACGUGCCAGCAGCCGCGGUAAUAAU